CCUCGCUCUGGUGCAACUGAUUUUGCCAGGUGCACCACUUCCGUCACCGUGCCCUCCUGGCACAUGGUCUGGCAGCGAAGGCAGUGGGCGUUUGCAGGAAUGCCAGCCUUGUCCUGGGGGAUAUUACUGCAAUAGCUCCGGGCAGAGGGCCCCUUCAGGACCAUGCAGCCCAGGGUACUACUGUGUCACUAGGGCCCAGACCCCAACCCCCACUGAUGGCCUCUCAGGAGCUCCGUGUCCAGUGAGUCACUUUUGUCCUCUUGGAUCCAGGAGUCCAGCUCCAUGCCCCCCUGGCUCCUACAUGCCACACACUCAUGGAGAGAAGUGCAAUGCUUGCCCAGAAGGUGAAUACUGUGUGUCUGGUGAGAAGGCACAGCCGUGUCCCCAGGGCUAUUUCUGUCCCAAGGGCACAGCUCUUCCAAUUGCUUGUCCGGCAGGGUCCUAUAACCCUUCACAAAGGCAAGGCAGCUGCCUCCCCUGUCCUGCAGGGUUCUUCUGCCCCAAAAAUUCUUCUUCCUUUUCGGAGAAUCAGUGUUCAGCUGGCCACUACUGCCCUACUGGUACUGCUUCUGCAACUCAGUUCCCAUGUCCUAAGGGGACUUACAACCCACAGACUGGAAGCAGCCUGAUGUCUCACUGCACCCCUUGUGACCCAGGGCACUACUGUGCGCUUGCGGGGCAGUCACAUGUUACAGGACCCUGUUUGGCUGGAUUCUACUGCAGCAGAGGUGUUUCUAGUCCAACACCUACAGAUGGUCUUCUGGGGAACGCAUGCCUGAAGGGAACUUACUGUCCUGUGGGCUCUGCCUUUCCACAGCCAUGUCCUCGUGGUUAUUACAGCAACUCAACUGGGA